rnacentral:rRNA from 1 species
AGUGAACGCUGGCGGUAGGCCUAACACAUGCAAGUCGAACGGCAGCACAGUAAGAGCUUGCUCUUACGGGUGGCGAGUGGCGGACGGGUGAGGAAUACAUCGGCAUCUACUUUUUCGUGGGUGAUAACGUAGGGAAACUUACGCUAAUACCGCAUACUACCUACGGGUGAAAUCAGGGGAUCUUCGGACCUUUCGCGAUUGAAUGAGCCGAUGUCGGAUUAGCUAGUUGGCGGGGUAAAGGCCCACCAAGGCGACGAUCCGUAGCUGGUCUGAGAGGAUGAUCAGCCACACUGGAACUGAGACACGGUCCAGACUCCUACGGGAGGCAGCAGUGGGGAAUAUUGGACAAUGGGCGCAAGCCUGAUCCAGCCAUACCGCGUGGGUGAAGAAGGCCUUCGGGUUGUAAAGCCCUUUUGUUGGGAAAGAAAAGCAGCAGGAUAAUACCCCGCUGUUCUGACGGUACCCAAAGAAUAAGCACCGGCUAACUUCGUG